rnacentral:lncRNA from 1 species
UCUAACCCUUCUCUCAUCAGAGACCCGUAAAGCCACCGCCUCCCAUCGUAAACAGCCGGCCAGAAAUCGUCUUCGCCAGUGGCAAUAACCCAAAAGCCUCCAAAUUAACACCACUCUACCUCCUCAACCUCCUCUUUCCGAAUCUGGGCCUGGUUUCUCCCAAAUCCCCACCAAUCGUCUCGAAUAUCCAUUUGAAAUGUCGG